CGCCUGUUUUUAUCAAAAACAUAGCCCCUUGAAUAUAUAAAGGGUCUCGCCUGCCCAGUGGCUUAAGGCUAAACGGCCGCGGUAUCUUGACCGUGCAAAGGUAGCAUAAUCAUUUGUCUUUUAAAUGAAGACUUGUAUGAACGGCAAAACCUCCUCCAACUGUCUCCCCUCCCAUCCUUCCAAAUUUCCUCCUGUGUGAAGAAGCGCAGAUACACCAGAAAGACGAGAAGACCCUGUCGAGCUUUAACCACUAAGUGGGCCUUACCCUUUCAGGCACCACCCAAAGGUUUUGGUUGGGGCAACCACGGAGAAAAAACAUCCUCCAGAACGAAUAGAAGAAAGCUUUUCACUAUUAUUACGACUAAGAACCAGGAACUGGUAUUCGGAAAGAGUUACCGCAGGGAUAACAGCGUCAUCUCCUCUAAGAGUCCUUAUUGACGAGGAGGUUUGCGACCUCGAUGUUGGAUUGGGGCCCCCUUAGGGUGCAGAAGCUCUAAACGGUUAGACUGUUCGUCUAUUAAAGCCCUACA
rnacentral:rRNA from 1 species